rnacentral:rRNA from 1 species
UGGGGAAUAUUGCACAAUGGAGGGAACUCUGAUGCAGCGACGCCGCGUGAACGAAGAAGGCUUUCGAGUCGUAAAGUUCUUUUAUAUGGGAAGAUAAUGACGGUACCAUAAGAAAAAGCCCCGGCUAACUACGUGCCAGCAGCCGCGGUAAUACGUAGGGGGCUAGCGUUGUCCGGAAUCACUGGGCGUAAAGGGUUCGCAGGCGGAAAUGCAAGUCAGGUGUAAAAGGCAGUAGCUUAACUACUGUAAGCAUUUGAAACUGCAUAUCUUGAGAAGUGGAGAGGUAAGUGGAAUUUUUAGUGUAGCGGUGAAAUGCGUAGAUAUUAAAAAGAAUACCGGUGGCGAAGGCGACUUACUGGGCUCAUUCUGACGCUGAGGAACGAAAGCGUGGGUAGCAAACAGG